AUUGAACGCUGGCGGCAUGCUUUACACAUGCAAGUCGAACGGGCUGGGGGCAACUCCAGUCAGUGGCGAACGGGUGAGUAAUACAUCGGAACGUACCUCGUAGUGGGGGAGUAACUUGGCGAAAGCCGUGCUAAUACCGCAUAUGCUCUACGGAGGAAAGCAGGGGACCGCAAGGCCUUGUGCUAUGGGAGCGGCCGAUGUCCGAUUAGCUAGUUGGUGAGGUAAUGGCUCACCAAGGCGACGAUCGGUAGCUGGUCUGAGAGGAUGAUCAGCCACACUGGGACUGAGACACGGCCCAGACUCCUACGGGAGGCAGCAGUGGGGAAUAUUGCACAAUGGGCGAAAGCCUGAUGCAGCGAACGCCGCGUGAGGGAUGACUGCCUU
rnacentral:rRNA from 1 species